rnacentral:misc_RNA from 1 species
UUUCCGUAGGUGAACCUGCGGAAGGAUCAUUACUGAGUGAGGGCCCUCUGGGUCCAACCUCCCACCCGUGUUUAUUGUACCUUGUUGCUUCGGUGAGCCCGCCUCACGGCCGCCGGGGGGCAUCUGCCCCGGGCCCGCGCUCGCCGAAGACACCUUUGAACUCUGUCUGAAGUUUGCAGUCUGAGCGAAAACUAAAUAAGUUAAAACUUUCAACAACGGAUCUCUUGGUUCCG